GACGAACGCUGGCGGCGUGCUUAACACAUGCAAGUCGAACGGAAAGGCCCUGCUUUUGUGGGGUGCUCGAGUGGCGAACGGGUGAGUAACACGUGAGUAACCUGCCCUUGACUUUGGGAUAACUUCAGGAAACUGGGGCUAAUACCGGAUAGGAGCUCCUGCUGCAUGGUGGGGGUUGGAAAGUUUCGGCGGUUGGGGAUGGACUAGCGGCUUAUCAGCUUGUUGGUGGGGUAGUGGCUUACCAAGGCUUUGACGGGUAGCCGGCCUGAGAGGGUGACCGGCCACAUUGGGACUGCGAUACGGCCCAGACUCCUACGGGGGGCAGCAGUGGGGAAUAUUGCACAAUGGGCGGAAGCCUGAUGCAGCAACGCCGCGUGCGGGAUGACGGCCUUCGGGUUGUAAACCGCUUUCGCCUGUGACGAAGCGUGAGUGACGGUAAUGGGUAAAGAAGCACCGGCUAACUACGUG
rnacentral:rRNA from 1 species